rnacentral:pre_miRNA from 1 species
UGGUCCGGUGCUGUGUGGAAGACUAGUGAUUUUGUUGUUCUGAUAUGUGAUGACAACAAGUCACAGCCGGCCUCACGGCGUGGACCC